ACUCGUCUCUGAUCAUCGGUGUGUCUGUGAUUCUGCUUUUGCUCAUCACUGGACUCGUUUCAUUUAAAGUGGCUCUCUGUAAGAAGCAUCAGGCUCGAGAUAAAGACCCUGAUUCAGACUCUAAAAUGUCUGAACCUGGAACAGAAAACAGUGAAGCGGUUCCUCAAAUGCCUUACAUUUAUGAGGAGAUUAAAGACACCAGGCCUCAAACUGACUGCAAAACUGCCCGAUUACCCACAAACCCCUCUGAUUCCUUUAAAACAGUCUAUGCUACUCCUCAGUUACCCACAAACCCCUCUGCUUCUACUAAAACAGUCUAUGCGACGCCUCAAUUACCCACAAACCCAUCUGCUUCUACUAAAACAGUCUAUGCAUCUCCUCAAUUACCCACAAACCCAUCUGCUUCUACUAAAACAGUCUAUGCAUCUCCUCAAUUACCCACAAACCCUGCUGAUUCUACUAAAACAGUCUAUGCACCUCCUCAGUUACCCACAAACCCCUCUGCUUCUACUAAAACAGUCUAUGCGACGCCUCAAUUACCCACAAACCCAUCUGCUUCUACUAAAACAGUCUAUGCAACUCCUCAGUUGCCCACAAACCCCUCUGAUUCCAUGAAAACAGUCUAUGCAACUCCCCAAUUACCCACAAACCCCUCUGAUUCUUCUAACGCUGUUUAUGCUACAGUUUAGCAGUGCAGAAGUUCAUGUGAUCCAGGGAUUAGAGUAAAUACAUGUUAGUGAUUGGCCAUUUCAGUUUGUUGUUGUAACUGCUUGAGUUUGGAAAAGUCUUUUAUAAAUGUGAAUUCACUGAUUCAGCUCUUGAAGGUUAGUUAUUUAGCAUUUAUAAAGUGUAAUUUCAUCAGACUGUGACUGUAAAUGUUAUUGUGUGUGUGUGUGUGUGUGUGUUGAAUCUGAGUUGCUGAAUUGCUGUCUGUGGUGCUGAACACUAGAGUGAGCCGCUUGACUCUCUCCCUCUCUCUCUCAAUCUCUCUCUCUCUCUCUCUCAGAGGAAGUGGGCAUCUCUCUUUCACAUUAAGCAGUUGAAGACGUGACACUCAAAAGACCAUUAUGACGUUUUCACUGACUGUUUCAGAGAAGCUUAAUGGAGUAAAAGCUGGUCCCAAAAUUCAUCAGUGACGGGACAAAAACAAUCCCUGAUUUAAUGAAGAAACUUCAGAUAAAUAAUGGUUUAAUUGAGGAUUAAAUGUCCUCAUCUGCUUGACUUUGUGGAAAAGAUCUCAGUCAGUCACUGGACUUUCGUAAAGACGUUCAGUCUUUGUAGAUUUAUUGUAAAGUUCACAGAUAUUUACAGCUGUUUGUAAUGUUUUGGUCAUCAGUGAUGUUAUUUGUGCAUGAUUUGUUUUAUUCAUGUGAAAGGCAGGCAGUGGCUCAUCUCAUCACAUGAGUUUACAGCUUCAUAUGUUUUGCAUAGUUGAACCGCUGUGUUUAUGGCCAGGCAGCUGCUCUACACUGAAGUUACAUACAGGAUAAAGUGUGUUGACUAAUUAAAUGACAAGGAAACAGACACAGAAAAACAAACACAUAAGAGCUUCACAGCUUUGUGACAAAGGUCUCAUCUGUGUUUAACAGGAUCUGGAUUCAAAUCAUAAUACAGGCGAACCUACAGUGUAUGGACAAAUUAAUUCAUGUGUAAUAUUAAACUCAUUUUUAUUUUAUAAGAAACUUCUGUUUUACAGCUUCACUUCUGCUUUAGUGAUUAUUGGCUCCUGAUAAAUUGCUGGUGUGUUUCAUCAUUUGUUUGUAUUUUCUCUUCUGGUAAAUAUGUCUGCUUAAUGAAUAAAUAUAAUAUUUUAAUUGUAUCGUAAUCA
ensembl:lncRNA